GGCCUAACACAUGCAAGUCGAACGGUAACAGGAAGCAGCUUGCUGCUUCGCUGACGAGUGGCGGACGGGUGAGUAAUGUCUGGGAAGCUGCCUGAUGGAGGGGGAUAACUACUGGAAACGGUAGCUAAUACCGCAUAAUGUCGCAAGACCAAAGAGGGGGACCUUCGGGCCUCUUGCCAUCGGAUGUGCCCAGAUGGGAUUAGCUUGUUGGUGGGGUAACGGCUCACCAAGGCGACGAUCCCUAGCUGGUCUGAGAGGAUGACCAGCCACACUGGAACUGAGACACGGUCCAGACUCCUACGGGAGGCAGCAGUGGGGAAUAUUGCACAAUGGGCGCAAGCCUGAUGCAGCCAUGCCGCGUGUAUGAAGAAGGCCUUCGGGUUGUAAAGUACUUUCAGCGGGGAGGAAGGGAGUAAAGUUAAUACCUUUGCUCAUUGACGUUACCCGCAGAAGAAGCACCGGCUAACUCCGUGCCAGCAGCCCGCGGUAAUACGGAGGGUGCAAGCGUUAAUCGGAAUUACUGGGCGUAAAGCGCACGCAGGCGGUUUGUUAAGUCAGAUGUGAAAUCCCCGGGCUCAACCUGGGAACUGCAUCUGAUACUGGC
rnacentral:rRNA from 1 species